rnacentral:snoRNA from 2 species
GCACAAAUGAUGGAAAAAUCACUAUUUGGAAAAAAAUGACAUGAACAAAGGAACCACUGAUGCGC